rnacentral:rRNA from 1 species
GUGGGGAAUAUUGGACAAUGGGCGAAAGCCUGAUCCAGCCAUGCCGCGUGUGUGAAGAAGGUCUUCGGAUUGUAAAGCACUUUAAGUUGGGAGGAAGGGCAGUAAGUUAAUACCUUGCUGUUUUGACGUUACCGACAGAAUAAGCACCGGCUAACUUCGUGCCAGCAGCCGCGGUAAUACGAAGGGUGCAAGCGUUAAUCGGAAUUACUGGGCGUAAAGCGCGCGUAGGUGGUUUUGUAAGUUGGAGGUGAAAUCCCCGGGCUCAACCUGGGAACUGCCUCCAAAACUGCAUGACUAGAGUACGGUAGAGGGUAGUUGAAUUUCCUGUGUAGCGGUGAAAUGCGUAGAUAUAGGAAGGAACACCAGUGGCGAAGGCGACUACCUGGACUGAUACUGACACUGAGGUGCGAAAGCGUGGGGAGCAAACAGGAUUAGAAACCCCGGUAGUCC